GGGGAAGUCAAGAUGGCUAACCAGGCACAGCCAGGUGGAUCAUUUCUUACCAAAAGGAUGAGACUUCAGGAAGACUGGCACAUUCUGAGCAGAUCUUUGUGGGGAAGGCAUUGAGAGUGGACAGAGCUUCAGGCACGUCUCAGCAUGCCUCCCUCUCAUGGAAGUUCCCAGGAAGCCCACCAUGUACGUGUCUGUACGUGUCUGUAGAAGAGGAGGAAAUUUUUUUCCGGGAGCCGGCUGAUUACACAAAGAACAAAGGAAUGAAAACCCUAAGUGCGAGUAGGGACAUUGUGCAUUGAUCGUUCAGACUACUUCAUGCUGGAGAGGGCAUCAUAUGGGGGACAGCAGCUGGGAUUUCUCCUGUGAUCAAUCUAAGGGUCCUCUUAAGAAGAGCACAUCCAUGCGUGGUUCUAUUUGUAUCACUAUUUGGAGCAUGAUAGGCUCUAGGCAAAAAGAAACAAUUUAGGUUAUAAGAGAACAUGUGUUAAAACAAGACUGGGGUUAAUGACGUUUUAAAAAUUCCGAGGCUGCUGACACAGUUGGAUAACUGAUGAUUGUAGUUAUGUCUGUUAAGAUUUGGGUGCAUGGGCUUGGCUUUGGUUAUCUCCAUUGGUUUUAUUUUCCCCCCAAAAAACGUCUGGGUUAUGGGUAUCAUAUUUACUCCUAUUACCUGGCACGAUUUGCAAGAUAAUUAACCAGUACUAGAAUAUUGAUCCAGUUUUAUUGUUGUCGUUGUUGUUUUCACUACACAUCCUUUUUUGUUUCUUCUGAGCAGCAGGAGGAAAUCACUAGUUGAUUCAAAGGAAUAAGCAGGAAUAGUCUAAAAUGUAGGAAAAAAACUUAAAAAUAACUAAUGAGAAC
rnacentral:lncRNA from 10 species